CUAUAGGAACCAAUCAGGACAUUUUGCCCAAGAUCUAGGACAGAAAGACUCAUGCAGUAACUCCUGCCUUACAGAUCUGGGGACCCUUCACCUGCCUCUACUACUGCAAAUGAUUGGAUAUUCGUCUGCCUUGGCUCUUCCCUAAUGUGUGGAACUAAUUUUGUUCACUCUGUUUCAUGCUGGACCUGGCCUGAAAAUGGGCCCUUAUAUUGUCUUUGCACUUUCCAACUUGCCAAGUUUCUGAAAGAAGGACCAAAGUAAUGCCAAGAACUCCCAGAUGAAGAGGACCUUCCUUAGACCUAUAACAGAUUCACUACUUGACUUUAGAGGGAAGUUUCAGCUAAUUCUCAGGAAAAGGUCAAAACAGGCCUGUGACUGUCCCUUGAAUACUGAAGGUAUAAACAAGCUUCUGGCUCCUCCAGGUCAAGCAGAGGAACACUUUUAUUAGAAUGAAGGGUUACUUCUUUGUUAUUCAAACACACACCCACACACAUCCUCUGUAGUCUCCCUAAUGAAAAACCUCAACAGAUGGAGAGCCUGAGCUCCCAAGUCCGCAGGCUGAGAAGAUGCACUUCACUCAAGGGCCAGUGGGCUGGUACAGACUAGGGAAGAGAAAAGGGACAAAGGCUGCUAGUAUAGGUAAUCACUAUCUUUUAAUACUCCUAACACAUAGAAAUUCGAAAAAUCUUGUUCAGCAAUGUUAGCAGCCUGUGAGCCUCAGAAACUAAUUUGGCCGAUGUGUCUCUGAUAGGGAGCUUAGGGCUGCACCAA
rnacentral:antisense_RNA from 1 species